CGGUGGCUAAGAGAGCUGCAAUUUAAGAAAGCACUUUACAAAUUACAAAAAAAAUGACAAGAUCAGUUAGCAUACUAGCGAUGGCUUAACAUUUGGACACAGUGUCAAGCAUGAUCCGAAACACCCAGGUCACGUGACUAAAGCGAUUCAAAACACCCAGGUCAUGUGACUAAAGCGAUUCGAAUAUCCAGGUCACGUGACUAAAGCGAUUCGAAACAUUCAGGUCACGUGACUAAAGCGAUUUGAAACAUCCAGGUCACGUGACUAAAGCGAUUCAAAACAUUCAGGUCAUGUGACUAAAGCGAUUCGAAACAUCCAGGUCACGUGACUAAAGCGAUUCAAAACAUUCAGCUCACGUGACUAAAGCGAUUCGAAACAUCCAGGUCACAUGACUAAAGCGAUUCGAAACAUUCAGGUCACGUGACUAAAGCGAUUCGAAACAUCCAGGUCACGUGACUAAAGCGAUUCGAAACAUCCAGGUCACAUGACUAAAGCGAUUAGAAACAUUCAGGUCACGUGACUAAAGCGAUUCAAAACAUUCAGGUCACGUGACUAAAGCGAUUCGAAACAUUCAGGUCACGUGACUAAAGCGAUUCAAAACAUUCAGGUCACGUGACUAAAGCAAUUCGAAACAUCCAGGUCACGUGACUAAAGCGAUUCGAAACAUCCAGGUCACGUGACUAAAGCGAUUCGAAACAUCCAGGUCACGUGACUAAAGCGAUUCAAAACAUUCAGGUCACGUGACUAAAGCAAUUCGAAACAUCCAGGUCACGUGACUAAAGCGAUUCGAAACAUCCAGGUCACGUGACUAAAGCCAUUCGAAACAUCCAGGUCACAUGACUAAAGCGAUUAGAAACAUUCAGGUCACGUGACUAAAGCGAUUCAAAGCAUUCAGGUCACGUGACUAAAGCAAUUCGAAACAUCCAAGUCACGUGACUAAAGCGAUUCGAAACAUCCAGGUCACGUGACUAAAGCGUUUUGAAACAUCCAGGUCACGUGACUAAAGCGAUUCGAGACAUCCAGGUCACAUGACUAAAUCGAUUCGAAACAUCCAGGUCACAUGACUAAAUCAUUUCGAAACAUCCAGGUCACGUGACUAAAGUGAUUUGAAACACCCAGGUCAUGUGACUGUCAAACCGACGAUGAUCUUUUCUUAAUUUGCUGGUGUUUUUUGUAAUUGCAUGUGCUAUCUUGAAUUGCAGCACAUUAAGUUCGGCCACCGUAGAAAAGGGACACCGCAGCUAGAAAGACGUAUCAAUGUUCGGUUUUUUUUGUGUUUUUUUUUUAUUAUUACUAAACUGUGAUAUCUCUCGAUUUAUUUGAAGAUGUAGGAAAAUAUAUGAAAUUAAUAUAUAUAUAUAUAUAUUUCAAUAUAUAUAGAGGUCAUUGCAGAUAUUUAUUGUUAAUUUAUACACACAGAACACUUAUCAGAGCUCUAGACGGAGAGUUUAUAAUUACGUGUGGCGCGUUUGAGACGCGCUGGUGCGAGCGAGCGAGAGCGUGUUUCCUAGUUUGAUCUGUGUCUACUUUGGUGAAUGUAAAGUGUGUUAAAUCAUUCCACUUAGUCUUGUGUCUUCCUCCCGGCACAUGAAGCCAAACUGCCUUUUUCUUGCCCAGCAGCUCAGACCACUGGGCGUCUGUUUACACAUCCGCCUGGCUUCAGAAAGCCGGAUGGUCGGAAAAAAAAAAUAGCCAUCUUGGCUCACAUUGGCCCCACGCACACAUUCACGAUUUCCCUGCUGAAGCACCAUUCCUGUUUUUUUAUUUAUUUUCUUUCAUCUUUUUGGUCUGAUGUGAGGUUUCGCCAAUAGCCCAUUUUUCAUGUUUUAAAAACGUUGAAUUUACGUUAUGGGAGAUUAUUAACUUUUUUUUUCCUUAUAGAGCAUACAUGCUCCAGCCUAAACCAAAUGUAGUAUUUAUAGCAUAGUAGAAUUUAUUUAUAUAUAAUAUAUACAAUGCAAAAAUUCCCUUUUUAUGCAGACAGAAUCAAUGUAAAAAUAAAUAAAUAAAUAAAUCUCAUGAUGUGAAGAGAUGUGGCACUUUAUGACCAGGCGUUGUAGGAAAGAAUUUAUAUAUAUACACAGAUGAAGUCAAAAUUAUUAGCCCUCCUGUGAAUUUUUCAAAUAUUUCCCAAAUGAUGUUUAACAGAGCAAGGAAUUUUUCACAGUAUUUCCUGUAAUAUUUUUUCUUCUGAAGAAAGUCGGCUAGAAUAAAAGCAGUUUUUUUUAAAACCAUUUUACAGUCAAUGUUAUUAGCCCUCUUAUACCCACUUGUCUACAGAACAAACCAUUAUUAUACAAUGACUUGCCUAAUUACCCUAGUUUUAAUGUCAUUUUAAGCUGAAUACUAGUGUCUUGAAAAAUAUCUGAUCAAAUAUUAUGUACUGUCAUCAAGGCAAAGAUAAAAUAAAUCAGUUAUUAGAAAUUAGUUACUAAAACUAUUAUGAUUAGAAAUGUGUUUGGGAAAAAUCUCUCUGUUAAACAGAAUUAGGAGAAAAAUAUACAGGAGGGCUAAUAAUUCUGACGUCAACUUUAUAUAUAUGAAUAUAUGUUUGCUGGCAUAUUGCUGGUGGGGACAUAUGAUCAUAUUUCAGCUACAAACCGUGUGGUAUUGUAAUAAUGAAUGUAUGUAAGAUCUGUUUUUGUUUUUUAAUUUCCCAGAAGAGCAUCUGCAGUAAUGUGAUCUGAAGUUUUUGGUGUGGAUCUUUCGAAUCCAUCUUCAGUGUUGCUCUGCGCAGUGUUUGAGAUUGUUGCAGUUGAACUACUGAGGUAUUUACUGGUUUAUUCACUGUUAAAUCUUCUAGAAAUACAUCUUCAUUUUUGGCAUUAGAGUGCAUCUGUAUUGGUUGUUGAGUGUGUGUGUUCUGCAAUAUGGUUUGAUUUCAACUUUUUUUUUCCACUAUGUGUGAUGAAUUGGUUGCUCAUGGUUUGGUGUUUUGAAACAGAUUGAAAGAAAAGCUAAUGAAAUCACUGUCAUGAUCAUGUUCACUGUACUGUAUGUUUGUAAGUGUAUAUGAAUGCCUUGUGUUUAUUGAAUUUCGUGAAAAUUCAUUUAUUAGGGGUGGAGGUGGGGUUGGGGAACACCCAUGCUAAAACUUUCAGCCUGAUCGUUUGUUAAUACACACUGACUUCUCGUGAUGUAUCUGACCAAAGAUUGAAAUUAGCAAAAAACAAAAACAAAGCAUGUUGAUAUUGUUAGAGAUUUGGCAUUUGUGAUUCAGGCAAAGGAAAGAUUGUCCUCAAUUCUAUUUUAACAUGUUACACCGGCCACUUUAUUAGGUACGCCUGUCCAACUGCUGGUUAACACAAAUUUGUAAGUCAAUGCAUUUAGGCAUGUAGACAUCGUCAAGAGGAUCUGCUACUGAUCAAAUCGAGCAUCAGAAUGGGGAAGAAAGGUGAUUUAAGUGACUUUGAAUGUGACAUGGUUGUUGGUGCCAGAUGGGCUGAUCUGAGUGUUUCAGAAACUGCUGAUCUUCUGGGAUUUUCACGCACAACCAUCUCUAGGGUUUACAGAGAAUGGUCCGAAAAAGAGAAAAUAUCCAGUGAGCGGCAGUUCUGUAGUUGCAAAUGCCUUGUUGAUGCCAGAGGUCAGAGGAGAAUGGGCAGACUGGUUCCAGCUGAUAGAAAGGCAACAGUAACUCAAAUAACCACUCGUUACAACUGAGGUCUGCAGAAGAGCAUCUCUGAACACACAACACGUCCAACCUUGAGGCGGAUGGGCUACAGCAGCAGAAGACCACCCCGGGUUGGUGGCUACAAUUCACACAGGCUCACCAAAAUUGGACAAUAGAAGAUUGGAAAAACGUUGCCUGGUCUGAUGAGUCUCCAUUUCUGCUGCGACAUUUGGAUGGUCAGAAUUUGCCAUCAACAACAUGAAAGCAUGGAUCCAUUCAGCCUUGUAACAACAGUUCAGGCUGGUGGUGGUGGUGUAAUGGUGUGGGGGAUAUUUUCUUGGCACACUUUGGGCCCCCUAAUACCAACUGAGCAUCAUUUCAACGCCACAGCCUGCCUGAGUAGUGUUGCUGACCAUGUCCAUCUCUUUAUGACCUCGGUGUACCCAUCUUCUGAUGGCUACUUCUUGCAGGAUAACGCGCCAUGUCAUAAAGUGCGAAUCUUCUCAGACUGGUUUCUUGAACAUGACAAUGAGUUCACUGCAAUCAAAUGGGCUCCACAGUCACCAGAGCUCAAUCCAAUAGAGCACCUGUGGGUUGUGGUGGAGCGAGAUUCACAUCAUGGAUGUGCAGCUGACAAAUCUGCAGCAACUACAUGAUGCUAUCAUGUCAAUAUGGAGCAAAAUCUCUGAGGAAUAUUUCCAGUACCUUGUCGAAUCUAUGCCACGCAGGAUUAAGCAGUUCUGAAUGCAAAAGGGGUUCCAACCCGGUACUAGUAAGGUGUACCUAAUAAAGUGGCCGGUGAGCGUACCUAACUCAGUGCAUCAAGUUCUGUGCUAUGGGAUUUUGACGUCAUUUCUGUGCUGUGGUUUUCAUGACAACCGUAUCCAAGCAACAAUCACAAAUUGACCGUUUUAUUUAUUUUUUAUAUAUUUUUGAAAGUGUUCAGAUUGAUUUCUGUCCACCUGCAAACCGUAACUUAACCGGUGUAGCAAUGACUUACUGUAUUUUUUCCUUCCGUUUUUAUCUCUAGACCAGGUUGAUUUGUACAUGUUUCCAUAUGCACUGUAUGUAUGACAUAUGUGCGGCGUUCACUGAUAUAGGAAGCAGAACUGUGCUGUGCGCGGUUUCCCAUUCUUCCGACAACUUUGUCUGAUAGAGACUCUGAUUCAGUGGCUGUCUGAUCUAUGUGAAGUAGACAGAUUACAAAUAAUAAUAAAACAACACUGGAAAA